GUGAGGAAUAUUGCGCAAUGGAGGCAACUCUGACGCAGCCAUGCCGCGUGCAGGAAGAAGGCGCUACGCGUUGUAAACUGCUUUUAACCGGGAAGAAACCCCAGGACGUGUCCUGGGUUGACGGUACCGGAGGAAUAAGCACCGGCUAACUUCGUGCCAGCAGCCGCGGUAAUACGAAGGGUGCAAGCGUUAUCCGGAUUCAUUGGGUUUAAAGGGUGCGUAGGCGGAGCGUUAAGUCAGUGGUGAAAUCCUGCAGCUUAACUGUAGACUUGCCAUUGAUACUGGCGUUCUUGAGUGCGCUUGAAGUGGGCGGAAUGUGCCGUGUAGCGGUGAAAUGCUUAGAUAUGGCACAGAACACCAAUUGCGAAGGCAGCUCACUAAGGCGAUACUGACGCUGAGGCACGAAAGCGUGGGGAUCGAACAGGAUUAGAUACCCUAGUAGUCC
rnacentral:rRNA from 1 species